rnacentral:rRNA from 1 species
AUGGAGAUUGCCUACCCCUACGGCGGGGAGUUCACGAGGAAGCACGGCUUCGUGACAGGCCGGCCGUUUGACGCCAAGACCGGCAUCAUGUCCGGCCCCAAGCGCGCGAGGGAGAUGGAGAUCCUUUGGCAGCGCUUCCAAGCAGAGCUCGUCGCCGUCCAUGGCCUCCUCCACAAGGCGGCCGCCGUGCUAGCUCCCGCCUCGUCCCCGUCGGCUCCCCGCGUCAAGAAGAGUUGUCCAAGGUUCUUGGCCGACGAGCCGCCGGCCAAGAAGAGGAAGGCGUCUCCUCCCGUUCCUGUGAUCAAGCGCAAGCCUACGAAGAAGAAGAUGACGGCCUCUGAGAGGGAGAUGCUCGCGGAAGACCUGGAGCUGUUCGUUGCGGAAAUCCCCGAUCACAUCGUCGAGCUCUUGAAGAAGCAGAGUUGUGCCGUCUGCAGCAACGAAAUCGAGAUCGACAUCCACGCGCUGGACAACGCCGCCGUCGUUGAGUUGCAAGGGCAGGUUGACAAGUUCGCUCGAGAGAGGAGAACAGCGAAUCCGUCGGCGCAAGAACGGCACCAAGACGGCCCUAAGCAAUCUGUGUCGGCACCUCUGCUGCAAGAACGGCAUCAAGACGACCGUAAACCCAUGGCCGAAGAGGAGGAGGAGGAAGAUGUUGACAUCUGCGGUGGCGUCUCCCCAUUACCGAUUGUGCCGGCACCUCUGCUGCUCGUCGAAGAUGAAACUGCCAGUGGCAGCCCAAGCUCCAGCAGCAGCAGUUUAGAUACUGAUUCCAGCGACAGCGAUUCAGAUACUGAUUCCGGCAGCAGCGACUCAGGUUCAGAGCACUCGGGCGGUAGUGAUUCAGAUUCUGAUUUAGACGAGAUCGUCGACAGCCCAACUCCUCCAACAUGCGAGCAGCUCGCCCGUGCUCUAGAAAGGCAGGCCACGUCCCGGGCGAAGGAGAAGGCCCGUCAGGAAGUGCUCGAGACGAAGAGGACGGCAAUGCCCGACAAUACCCUAUACCCAGAGGACCUGAGGAGGCUCAGCAUUGAUGAGUACAACACGGCGAGGCCCAACAACCUGUUGCGAAAGAUUGGACUCUACCUCAAGGUUGACGACCACGACUGGAAGCAGCGGCAGCACCACCGUCAAAGCUUCGAAGAAGACCUAGAGGAAGGGGAGAUUCCAUCGUGA